rnacentral:lncRNA from 1 species
UGGAUAUGCAAUUAAAUGGUUUAAUUGAAAAUGGUCAAGAUUAAUUAAUUAGUUAAUUAAUUUUACGAAAGGUUCGUAUUGGGCUUUUAAGUUGGUUUUGGGUUUCGGGGCCCAAAAGUGUUUUGGUCCACAAAGCCCAUUAUGUUUAAGUUAUAUGACAACUAAAACAAAAUGGGCAAUUAGCCCAAUAACAAAGACAGGGCCGGCCAUAAGGGAGAGUGGAUGCAAACUUGAAUUAAUUACAAAUUUGCCACUCAAAUGUGAUGUAGUAUAAAGUUAACUUUAUAGCUUUUUUCUCUUCAAGGGUUUUCUUGAGGCAAAAGAGGUGAAACACUUUCUCUCUUUUUCUCAACAAGGAGGCAGGCCACUUAGAGAGGAUUUAGCUAGCAAUAUUUUCUUCUCUAAGUCAUCAAUUUCAUCUUCACACCUCAUCUUUGGUGUGGAGACUUAGAGACACCAAACCUUUGGUGU